AUUGAACGCUGGCGGCAUGCCUAACACAUGCAAGUCGAACGAGAAAAGGGGGCAACCCCUGAGUAAAGUGGCGGACGGGUGAGUAAUACGUAGGAAUCUGCCUUAGAGUGGGGGAUAACCACGCGAAAGCGUGAUUAAUACCGCAUAAUCUUUGCGAAGCAAAGGGGGCUAGCAAUAGCUCUCGCUCUAAGAUGAGCCUACGUCGGAUUAGCUAGUUGGUAGGGUAAUGGCCUACCAAGGCGACGAUCCGUAGCUGGUUUGAGAGAACGACCAGCCACACUGGGACUGAGAUACGGCCCAGACUCCUACGGGAGGCAGCAGUGGGGAAUAUUGGACAAUGGGCGAAAGCCUGAUCCAGCAAUGCCGCGUGUGUGAUGAAGGCCUGCGGGUUGUAAAGCACUUUCGUUGGGGAAGAAAUACUUAAAGCUAAUACCUUUGAGGGUUGACGUUACCCAAAGAAGAAGCACCGGCUAACUCUGUGCCAGCAGCCGCCGUAA
rnacentral:rRNA from 1 species